ensembl:lncRNA
GAGGCCGCGAAAUGUAUUGAGAAGAUGCAGCAUCAAGUGCAAAAGCUUGAAAAGGAAAAUGCCGAGUUAAAAGAUACAAACAAAAUGCAAGCGGGCACAAUUGAAGAGCUUCAGAGAAACCCGCCGGGUCCAAGUUCGGUAAGUCGGGUUUUUUCUGUCAUAACCGAAAAGGAAUUUUAAUUGUGUUACCAAUAUUAUAUGAGACUAUUUUAGAAAAUAGGAAGAGUCUCAUUGAUGAAAAGCAGUUACGGCAUCGAUAGUGGCACUCUUUGCUACGAAUAGCAGAAUUCCUCUUUAUAGAAGACAUUAACUGAAUUCAUAAAAUGAAUGAUUGUCGUA